rnacentral:rRNA from 1 species
UACGUAGGAUGCAAGCAUUAUCCGGAAUUAUUAGGCGUAAAAAGCUCGUAGGCGGUUUGUCGCGUCUGCUGUGAAAACUGAAGGCUCAACCUCCAACCUGCAGUGGAUACAGGCAGACUAGAAUGCGGUAGGGGAGAUUGGAAUUCCUGAUGUAGCGGUGGAAUGCGCAGAUAUCAGGAGGAACACCGAUGGCGAAGGCAAAUCUCUGGGCCGUAACUGACGCUGA